rnacentral:rRNA from 1 species
AUACGUAGGGGGCGAGCGUUGUCCGGAAUGAUUGGGCGUAAAGGGCGCGUAGGCGGCCCGGUAAGUCUGGAGUGAAAGUCCUGUUUUUAAGAUGGGAAUUGCUUUGGAUACUGUCGGGCUUGGGUGCAGGAGAGGUAAGUGGAAUUCCCAGUGUAGCGGUGAAAUGCGUAGAGAUUGGGAGGAACACCAGUGGCGAAGGCGACUUACUGGACUGUAACUGACGCUGAGGCGCGAAAGUGUGGGGAGCAAACAGGAUUAGAUACCCUGGUAGUCCACACUGUAAACGAUGAAUGCUAGGUGUAGGGGGUAUCGACCCCUUCUGUGCCGCAGUCAACACAAUAAGCAUUCCGCCUGGGGAGUACGGCCGCAAGGUUGAAACUCAAAUGAAUUGGCGGGG